rnacentral:tRNA from 1 species
GUGGGCGUAGCUCAACGGUUAGAGCAUUGGACUGUGGAUCCAGAGGUUGGGGGUUCGAAUCCCCUCGCUCACCCCA